rnacentral:rRNA from 1 species
CUCGAUGAGUAGGGCGGGACACGUGGUAUCCUGUCUGAAUAUGGGGGGACCAUCCUCCAAGGCUAAAUACUCCUGACUGACCGAUAGUGAACCAGUACCGUGAGGGAAAGGCGAAAAGAACCCCGGCGAGGGGAGUGAAAAAGAACCUGAAACCGUGUACGUACAAGCAGUGGGAGCCCCACCACCAAAGCAUUUGCUGUACCGCGUUGACGGAGCGAAGCGACGUCAAACCGAUAAAACAGCAGUGUAAAGUGAGCCGCAGGGCGCUUUGCGCGACAGCGCAAAGGCAGGCGGUUUCGCGUAGCGAAAGCGAAUGCUUUGGGGUGGGGUGACUGCGUACCUUUUGUAUAAUGGGUCAGCGACUUAUAUUCUGUAGCAAGGUUAACCGAAUAGGGGAGCCGGAGGGAAACCGAGUCUUAAUUGGGCGUUAAGUUGCAGGGUAUAGACCCGAAACCCGGUGAUCUAGCCAUGGGCAGGUUGAAGGUUGGGUAACACUAACUGGAGGACCGAACCGACUAAUGUUGAAAAAUUAGCGGAUGACCUGUGGCUGGGGGUGAAAGGCCAAUCAAACCGGGAGAUAGCUGGUUCUCCCCGAAAGCUAUUUAGGUAGCGCCUCGUGAAUUCAUCUCCGGGGGUAGAGCACUGUUUCGGCUAGGGGGCCAUCCCGGCUUACCAACCCGAUGCAAACUGCGAAUACCGGAGAAUGUUAUCACGGGAGACACACGGCGGGUGCUAACGUCCGUCGUGAAGAGGGAAACAACCCAGACCGCCAGCUAAGGUCCCAAAGUCAUGGUUAAGUGGGAAACGAUGUGGGAAGGCCCAGACAGCCAGGAUGUUGGCUUAGAAGCAGCCAUCAUUUAAAGAAAGCGUAAUAGCUCACUGGUCGAGUCGGCCUGCGCGGAAGAUGUAACGGGGCUAAACCAUGCACCGAAGCUGCGGCAGCGACACUGUGUGUUGUUGGGUAGGGGAGCGUUCUGUAAGCCUGUGAAGGUGUGUCGUGAGGCAUGCUGGAGGUAUCAGAAGUGCGAAUGCUGACAUAAGUAACGAUAAAGCGGGUGAAAAGCCCGCUCGCCGGAAGACCAAGGGUUCCUGUCCAACGUUAAUCGGGGCAGGGUGAGUCGACCCCUAAGGCGAGGCCGAAAGGCGUAGUCGAUGGGAAACGGGUUAAUAUUCCCGUACUUGGUGUUACUGCGAAGGGGGGACGGAGAAGGCUAUGUUGGCCGGGCGACGGUUGUCCCGGUUUAAGCGUGUAGGUGUGUGUUCCAGGUAAAUCCGGUUCACUUUAACACUGAGGCGUGACGACGAGGCACUACGGUGCUGAAGCAACAAAUGCCCUGCUUCCAGGAAAAGCCUCUAAGCAUCAGGUAACAUCAAAUCGUACCCCAAACCGACACAGGUGGUCAGGUAGAGAAUACCAAGGCGCUUGAGAGAACUCGGGUGAAGGAACUAGGCAAAAUGGUGCCGUAACUUCGGGAGAAGGCACGCUGACACGUAGGUGAAGUGAUUUACUCAUGGAGCUGAAGUCAGUCGAAGAUACCAGCUGGCUGCAACUGUUUAUUAAAAACACAGCACUGUGCAAACACGAAAGUGGACGUAUACGGUGUGACGCCUGCCCGGUGCCGGAAGGUUAAUUGAUGGGGUCAGCGCAAGCGAAGCUCCUGAUCGAAGCCCCGGUAAACGGCGGCCGUAACUAUAACGGUCCUAAGGUAGCGAAAUUCCUUGUCGGGUAAGUUCCGACCUGCACGAAUGGCGUAAUGAUGGCCAGGCUGUCUCCACCCGAGACUCAGUGAAAUUGAACUCGCUGUGAAGAUGCAGUGUACCCGCGGCAAGACGGAAAGACCCCGUGAACCUUUACUAUAGCUUGACACUGAACAUUGAGCCUUGAUGUGUAGGAUAGGUGGGAGGCUUUGAAGUGUGGACGCCAGUCUGCAUGGAGCCGACCUUGAAAUACCACCCUUUAAUGUUUGAUGUUCUAACGUGGACCCGUUACCCGGGUUGCGGACAGUGUCUGGUGGGUAGUUUGACUGGGGCGGUCUCCUCCUAAAGAGUAACGGAGGAGCACGAAGGUUGGCUAAUCCUGGUCGGACAU